AGUGAACGCUGGCGGUAGGCCUAACACAUGCAAGUCGAACGGCAGCACAGUAAGAGCUUGCUCUUACGGGUGGCGAGUGGCGGACGGGUGAGGAAUACAUCGGAAUCUACUUUUUCGUGGGGGAUAUCGUAGGGAAACUUACGCUAAUACCGCAUAUGACCUACGGGUUAAAUCAGGGGUUCUUCGGACCUUUCGCGAUUGAAUGAGCUGAUGUCGGAUUAGCUAGUUGGCGGGGUAAAGGCCCACCAAGGCGACGAUCCGUAGCUGGUCUGAGAGGAUGAUCAGCCACACUGGAACUGAGACACGGUCCAGACUCCUACGGGAGGCAGCAGUGGGGAAUAUUGGACAAUGGGCGGAAGCCUGAUCCAGCCAUACCGCGUGGGUGAAGAAGGCCUUCGGGUUGUAAAGCCCUUUUGUUGGGAAAGAAAAGCAGCAGGUGAAAACCCCCCUGUUCUGACGGUACCCAAAGAAUAAGCACCGGCUAACUUCGUG
rnacentral:rRNA from 1 species